rnacentral:rRNA from 1 species
AGAAUCAACGCUGGCGGCGCGCUUAACACAUGCAAGUCGAGCGAGAAAGGGGAGCAAUCCCUGAGUACAGCGGCGUACGGGUGAGUAACACGUGGGUAAUCUGCCUUCUAGUGGGGGAUAACCCUGGGAAACCGGGGCUAAUACCGCAUAAGCCUGUGAAGGGAAAGCGAGCAAUCGCGCUGGAAGAGGAGCCCGCGGCCGAUUAGCUAGUUGGUGGGGUAACGGCCCACCAAGGCGAUGAUCGGUAGCCGGCCUGAGAGGGCACACGGCCACACUGGCACUGAAACACGGGCCAGACUCCUACGGGAGGCAGCAGUGGGGAAUCUUGCACAAUGGAGGCAACUCUGAUGCAGCGACGCCGCGUGAGCGAUGAAGCCCUUCGGGGUGUAAAGCUCUUUCGGCAGGGACGAUAAUGACGGUACCUGAAGAAGAAGCUGCGGCUAACUACGUGCCAGCAGCCGCGGUAA